AUAUCUAUAUUAAUAUUUGGACUAUGAUGUUUGAAAUAUUAGCUUAGAGCUUAGUCAUGUUGUUAUAAAAUACAUACACAUAUAAGAUAUUCUGCAUUUGAGCUAAUAUUAUCCAUCACACGGCCAUUUCCACCAAGUUCUAUUGUGACUCCCAAAGCUGGGUGAGAGGCCAUGUCUUAUGGCUCUCAGAAAUUCCCAUGGCCAAGCUUGUAGAUGAAUUCCAGGAAACCAUUCCCUACAGUGCAAAAGCCUCUCUCUUCCAAAGCCUCCUUCAGCUUGGACAACAGCAAAGGGCUCAGAUACUCCCCAUGCCAGCAGCUACAGACUGGGAAAAAACAGUUUACCAUCUUUGUUCUCAUAAUGACCUUUCAGUAGAGGAAAUAUUAAAUGCUCAUGCUGUCCACUUUUAAGAUGUUAAGGAUGACACGUACUCAAAGACACAAGCCUGACAGACAGCAUUGGAAGGUCAGAGCACCUGAGAGCAGGAGCCCAGGGCCUUCACUCAGUCUCUGGAGAGCCUAAGAGAUGUACCCGAAGCUAGCCCUGACUGCCAGCAUCUGAACGGAUGCGGGACUCCUGUCCCACUGGUCACCUCACCCUUGCAAUGAUUCAAGUCAGACCUGCUACUGAAAGUUACAGGAAAGUAUGUGGAGGGAGGAAGACGUGGGGGUGGGAGAGAGGACAAACCUGCUGACUGAAUCAACUCCACCCCCGGGACUCUGUGAAAUUUUAAUUUCCUCUUCGGAAACUUAGGUCAAUAAAUGUAUAUACUCCUAUUGCAAAGUGUGUCUUUUCUUUUAAGAACGUGUGAGCCCUGCCUUUCCCUCUUGAGCACGUGUUUAUUUUCCAAUGUGAUCCCUGGAGAUUGGCACCCACAAGAGGAAGGACUUGGAUGGACUAUUGCUGAGCAGCCUGCAAAGGGUCAAGAAGUUUAUAAAGUCUCUUUUAUGCCUUGCGAAAGGUGGACUGUCUUAACGCAAGGCACUGGAGAGAUUUACUUUGCCUGCUCUGACAGGCCCCCCUCACUCUUCUCUACACAGUGAAGUGGAUCUCAGCCUGGGGCCUGUGAACCCUUAGCUGUCACAAUAUUAAUUAGGACCUUCAGAAAUCUCAGUGGAGAAAAAAAAAGAAAGCUUCACAAACAGAUGCCACCGAAUAACAGGUAUCUGAGGCUGUGACAGAGAUGCCUGAGCCAGGGCUGGGGUGUGGACUCUUCAAAAUGCCCGCCUGUCCUUGAUUCUAUAUUAAAGCCGUCCCCAAGAACACCAGCACUGCUAAAGUAUACAGACAGUGAAAAGGUAAAUACAGCCUGCCCUAGAUUUUACUGUAGAGUAAGUGACAGAUCAGAGCCUCACAUAAGAUCCCAGGGGUGAGGAAGGUUUGGCGGGGACACAGGUCUCAAGUGCCACACUGUUUUCUGAGAACUGCCCAGGCACAGAGUUCAUCUCAAGGACUUUCCUUGGCUUCCUUUCCUCUUUCGGGACAAAGGGGCAGCUUGAGCUGGUGAGGCCUCAUGACCCUGUGCACAGGGGCUUGCUUGGACAGACGCUCGUUUCUCCUGGCCUCUGUCUGUACUCCCUCAUUCUGUGGCGAGUCCCCUCCUCCAAGCUGGCUCACUUCCUUCGCUCCCUCAACUACCUAGCAAUGACAUUAUCAGGGGCUCCAUCGCAGCCCCACCGUAGUCUGCCUAAUUGACCUACAUCCUUUCAGCAGGCUCUGCUCUUUUUCCUUCUCUGGAAAGAAGAAAUGAUGAAGAAAAUGUUCUUGGAAUCUGUUUCUGGCCAAGUCUUCAGAGCUUUGCUUAAAAUUGUUAGUGCAAUGCUUGACAUUUUUCCUUUCCUUUAUAAACAUUAUAGGCAAAUCAUUCGGAAUCCUAAUGGAAAGUAAUUUCCCAUUAAUGCAGGCUGUAAAAUGCUAUUUUCUUUUGAAACCGUGCCUGGGAAACAAACAGUGCGGGGCCCUUUUACACUCGAAAAUUCCACCUACAAAUCAGCAGAGCUCAAUGAUCGAUGUGUGACAAGGAGACCCCACAGCUACCUUCGGGGAACCUUCAAGGAAGUGGCUGGCAUAGGCACAUGGCCACAGUGUCACUAGGGAGACCCCACCGCCUGGGAGAAUUGAGUUUCUGGGUUCAGCCUUCUUAUAAAAGCCAGCAGGGUAUUACUUUUCUUACAAUUUAAAUCUGCCUAGGGACAGAGCUACUGGCCAAGGAGAAGGGACAGAAGCUUGGACGUGUACAGCCUAGGUAUGGAAGCCAAGGGCUCCUUUGUCCUGUUCUGGUUCCCUGCCACCAAAUCAGAUGCACACAGCAGAUGUCCUUAGCCACCACACACUGGCCACACACACCCAUGAUAAUGCAUCCUUAAGACAAACAUCCCAAAUGUUCUUAAACAUGGUUACAUUUGCUAGGAUUUCUCCUCUCUCUCUCUCUCUCUCUCUCUCUCUCUCUCUCUCUGGGGGUGGGCAGAAAAGAGAUCUAUGAGUGUAUAUGUGUGUAUAUAUGUGUGCAUGCAAGCACGCCUGCAUGUGGUCAGAGAUCAAUGUCAGGUGUCUUCCUUCUAUCAUUCUCCACCUUAAUUCUGGAGCAGAGUCUCUUCCUGAACCUGGAGUUCAUUGAUUCUGCAGGACUAGCUGGCCAUUCCUCCUGCCUCUGCCUUCCUAAGCCUGAGCUUGUGGGUGCACACCUCACUGAGAGCUCACAUACUCGUUUGUAAAACAGUGGUAUGGCAGCAUCAUGGCUGCAUGAACCCGGCAGACUGCCCAACCUCAUGCCGUCUGUGGUGUGGCUGCCAGCAUCGUCACACUGUGCUGUGGUCUCACUCUCACUUUCACUCUCUGCAACAUUAGUGUGCGGAGGUCCACGCACAGAGCAACAACCAAUGAUGCUGGCGUACACACGCACUCCAGAUGCAAAGGGCCCCACGCUGUUCUCUGACAAUUAAUCCAAAUACUUUAUUCCUCACGGAACUCAAUGCUCUCCAGAUUGCCAGUGAAAGACUGAAGCAAAGGAAAGCCGGGUCUGGUCUGGCAGCCGGCAGGAGCCGGUGUUUUGGGUGAACUUUAUCCUAGGUCCUGGAAUCCUGACUCUAAGAACCAACCCUGUGCUCGGAUGCUGGCAGGGAGGAAGGCAUGUGGACGGCUGGGGUCUGCUACUGGACUGAAGCCUGGGACUGUAUUCAUUUUCAAGAUUUUUAGUUCAUUUGUUUAUAUCCACCAUUUUUCUAAACAGAAAGGUUAAAAAGACUUCCAGAAAAAAACAGUAUCCAAAGUAAAGAUUCAUGUCAGGCCCGAAAUAGGCAAAUCAUAAGAUGUACAAAACUCUCCAUUGUAUCCAGACACCACAGCUCUGAGAGAGGAAGGCAGGGGGCGUGACACCAGGCGCAGACACACACUGGCACUGACCCAGCAGAGCAGGUUGCGGUUAUCCCCAGCAGUCAGCUCAAGGGCCAGUGAGCUUCCCGGAAGCCAGAGGAAGUGGCAAAGUUUAACAGGGUAUGCGACUUCCCUAAAGUGCCAGACCAGUUCUCCAGAGCCACUGACUUCUUGCAUUUACGCAAAUAUGUGUUACUGAAAUACAAUUUUCAAGAUUAUCUUCACACCAGAUAAAUAUUGCCCAUAACCACUUAGUUUAGCUUACGUGCUGGUGUGUUUACAGCCGUGCAGUCACGGGAUCUACUUAAUGUUGUCUUUCUUUUCUAUUUUACUUCAUACCUGUUCAUGUUUCUGUAUAAUCCACACAUCAUGACAAUUCAGUAGAUGAAUGGUAUCUCACUUAGCCUACCAUUAGCCGACUAUGCACAAAGUGUUUACAAGUAAAUGACAACUUAGUAGAGAUUAGUCAACAGGGUUACAAGAAUAUCCUGUGCUUAAAUAUUUCUUAAGGAUGUGUUUCCAGAAGUGAAGCCGCUGAAGUGCACAGACACCUGACAGACAGAGCUACACUGACUUCCCAGUGAGGAGUGUCAGGGGUUGGCAACUGUAGGCUGUGAGCCAAAUGAUGUAAGAAUGGAACCCAGGUGAGCUCACUCACUUAUCUAUAGACACAUUCAGAUGACGUAACAAUAAAGUUCAGUAGCUGUUACAGAGACCACAUGGCCCUACAGAGACCAUAAGUCAGGCAUAUUUACUGUCUGGCUCUCUACCAAAAUGUCUGCCUAUGCCUCAGUGAUUCUAAUGUAUACUCCCCCAAUGCUUGUGAGAUUGUGCCCAAGUGCCACAUAUGAACAGAAAUGGAGCCUGCAGCUCCCAACGGAAGGCAGUGAGUCACAACAGGGCAGACACGUUCUCCCAGUAACUUUGUAGAACAUACAUGUGGCAUCUGUGCACUCUCCACCAACCCAUCUCUUCCUCUUCAAUAGUGAAAGAACUGCAGGUAGAUCUGGGUCUCCAGUUCACCUCUUCCUACCUUUGUAGCUGGCUGGGUCAUGUGACUAAGCCCUGGCCAGUGGGGUGAGAGAGGUGAGGUGAAUCACUUAUGUUCAAUUCUUUAAGGGGAAACUAUGUCUAGACUUCCAUCUUUUGCCUCUUGAGUCUCUUGGGAACAGCGGCUACUAUUAUCCCAGUGUAAAAACUGUUGCCAGAAGCCAGGCAUUGUCACAAUAAAACCUGCAACCAGAGACAACAACUCAGAUGGUGGCAAUGGAGAGGAUGUGUGUGUAACAGGUGUGACAGCCCUAAUGCCUGUGAGGUCACAGCGAAGCACUAUGGUCCAAGUUUUACACGUGACAACCUUGAAAGCAGACCACACAUCAGGAACUCUCAAACAGAAGGAGGCUAUCACUAGGAUGCACGUGCACAUGAGUGACGGCCAGCAGAGGCCAGGGAGGGCAGGAGAUCACUGAGUCUGUGAGUGAAGACCUCAGGAGAAAGAACAGAGGGUGAGAGGUGGUAUUAGGGAAGCUAGCCACUCCAGGAGCCACCAAGAACAGAAGGUAAGCGAGCUGCUGUUUCAGAUACUUCUCAGAGACUCACUCAACCAAAGGAAUCCAGGCACGUGUCCGUGACCUGUGCUUUGUUCUUCACUUGGAUCUGUUGCUUCGAGUGUCCUCAAGACAACCUCUAAAAGCUGAGAAGGGGAAGCAUGGAUCUGACAAGAAGGAAAGACAUCAAGCUCUCUGAAGUGCUGUGUCUAAGAGGGGACCAUAGCUCUGGGCAUUCCUAACUGCCGAGAGCACGCAGGGCAGACGUUCCCCAUGGUUUCGAUGGAAUCACCCUGUGGCAGAUCCACAAGCCUCACCUGGAAACAUCUGAGCUUAGUGAAGCUUGUCGAGCCACACAGCACAAGUCUAAGAUGACAACUUGCAAGGCCAGCUUCAGAUAUGAACUUUCUGAGGGAGUACUGGAAGCCAGCAGGAUGAAGGACAAGAGAGGAAUCUAGCAUACACACACAGACACACACACUCUAAUCAAGUCAAGUUCUUCAUUUCCAGGGCAAGGGGUAUACACAUUCUGUCUCUGUCUCUGUCUCUCUGUCUCUCUGUCUCUGUUUCUCUCUCACUGUCAGGGCAAGAGGUCCCUGCAAUAUCUGUUAAGCAAGAUUCCAUCAGUAUCAGAGAGUUGCUCCUGCUGUGUGUUUCUAUUUGCUGUGGUUUGAAUGUUGCUAUGAAUAUUGAUCUGUGUGAGUGCCCAAAAUCCAUGUACUACAAUGUCAUUCCCGUGAGUCUAGUAGCCUUCCCCACAUGAUGAUUUCAUAAAGGUGGGUCUCAUUCAUGAAGUUAGUGUCCUUAUAAAUAAAUAAAAUAAAUAAUAAAUAAAAGGCCCAAUAGAGCUUAUUUGUCACUUCCACCACGCAAAAAAUAUCUGCAAGGUGCCAUCUAUGAGGCAAGUCACAUAUCAGCCACUAAAUCAGGUGAUGAUGCAAAGAGUCAAGUCUAUCCAUGAAGCCACAGAAUGCACAGCUACUGUGACACAAAAGUGUUAAGACAGACAGCAGUUUUGGCUCCCAGUCUCAGAGGUCUCAGUGCACAUCACUGGCCCAUUUGACUGAGCUAGUGUUACUCUGACAGCAAAGUCUUGACACAACUGGUCUGUGAACACUCUUGACGACUCUUCCUGAGGUGAACGCCAUUUAAAUCAUUGAAAUUUGCAUGAAGCCUUGCAUCACAGUGUAAACUGAAAGCCAGCACAGCAGGCUGCAAGCCACAGCUCAGGCUGAAACUCUACAAUAAGGACGAUGGGAAAGAGACUAUGUCAAGCUAUGCACUUUGCUGAGGAAGACUUUUAACUGCAGGCCCAGAGUCUAUGUUAAAAGUUGGACAUUAAAAAUCUGUCAGAGCUGGGAAGAUGGCUCAGUGUACAAAGUGCCUGCCUUCUGCACACGCAUAAGGUCCUGAGUUCAGAUCUCCAGUAGGGAUUGGGGGCACAAAAAGCCACUGGGUGGCAGUGCCUGCCUGUAACUCCAGCACAGAGAGGCAGAGACAGGACUGGCUCCUAGCACCCAGGAGAUCUGAUGCCCUCUUCUGGCUUUUGAGAGCACCUGCACACAGGUGUACACCCCUCCACACAGAUACACACCCAUACUAUAUACACAAUCUUUAAAAAUAUAGUUAAGGGGCCAAGGACAUAGUUCAGCUGAUAGAACUUCCCUAACAUGCAGAAAGCCUUGGGUUCAUUCCGUAGUGCUGCAUAAACCUGGCAUGGUGGCACAUGUCUGCACUCCUGGCCAGAGUCAAAGGGAGAUCUCAAGUCCUCUGUCACUAGCUUUGACAGUGAAGCAAGGGGCCACAAGCCAAGCAAUGCAUGUGGCCUCCAGAGAGGGAAACAGGCAAGACAUGGGUCCUCUCCUCGAGCUUCCAGAAAGAACCCCAAUCUCUGGAUAGGUCCCCAGAACUAUAAGGCAAAGAGACUGUACCCCAUAUGUAGCUUUAUGUCACAAAAUACAUAGUAGUUUCUUAGGAAGUAUAGAAAACUAAUGCAAUUAAACAAAAAAUUAGCAUGCAUUUAGCAUAAAUGAAACCUAAAUGAAUGGGUACAGAGAGAAGGCCCCAAGGUGAGAUCUCCUCAGUGAGCAGCUAUGGAAAGGAAGACACAACAGAGACACAGAGAAAGAGCCCAAAGCCACACAGAUCGUCACAGGCCUGUGGUCCGAGUCCUCGGGAGGAGGGGGCAGGAAGAUCAGGAGUUUAAGAUCAUCCUCAUUGCAGAAUAAUUCUGCAGUCAAGCUGGUAUAAGUGAGAUGCUGCCUCAAACCACCAGUAAUAAUAAUCAUAACUCUAACAAUAGAAGUUUAAAAGGGGACAUCUGAGGGAAGAUAAGAGAGGUGCUUAAGGUAAUAAAGAUUUCCAUAUUUAUCAACGAUGUGCGGAACUAGGUUUAAGUUUCUAGGCUCAGUGAGAAUGGAAGGAGGAGGAAGGAAUGGGACCCACUUUCCCAGCGUUCUGACAUCCGACAGCUGCCAUUCUCAGUUAACUCACCAACUAACAGGAAAAGGCAAGAGCCAGCCAGGAAACAGGGGCAGAGGGCUUGGUCUAACCUGGCCUGCCACGCAGAACAACCAGAAAGAGUGAAACACAGAUUGUUUCCAAGGGCACACAGAACAUUUGCCAAGAUGGGUCAUGCUCUGGGCCACAAGACAAGUUUCAAAAAAUAUGCUACAGAGUAAAAUUCAUUCAAAUAGACUAUUUGAACAAAAUAAAGUGACUGGCAGAAGAAAUGGGUUAGAGAGAAUGAAAUUAUUUCUUGUGCAAGGGAGGGUCAUGCUCAUGCGGGUGUGUGCAUGUGUGUAGGAUUGUGUGCACCUAUAUGGACUGGCUCGUUAGUGACAGAGGUCAGUCUCAGGUGUCAUUCCUCUAGAGCCAUCCACCUUUUUUAUUUUGGACAGGGUCUCAUACUGGCCAGGAGCUCCAGGGAUCUGCCUGUCUCUGCCACAACAGUACUGGGACUGUAAACCUCCUUAAAACACUCACGAUAAUAAACUUAUCUUCUCUUAAGUUGCGUCUGCUGGGUACUCUUGUGAUUGCAAAAGAACACUGCUGAGCACAAUGAAAGAUGUCAGAAAAUGAAAACUAGACCGUUUAUGGUGCAGACCAGAGCAUUCUGUAGGAUUGGGCCCGCAAUUCCCCUACAGCUAUCUGUAGAUUCUACCCAUACAAAAUUAAAAUCAGAAUGAGCUCUUUCUGUAGAGAUAAGAAAAAUAAUGCUAAAAUUCACCUGGAAAGGCAAACAAACAAACCUAGAACGUCAACAGCAAACAGAAACAAAACCCCAAGAGAUAAAAGACAUGGUCUGGUUCCAAGGCCAACUGCAAACCUUGGCAAAGAAGCUAGAGAGUUCAGAGAUGUGGCCAUGGGGUGUAGGUGUAGGUGUGUGUGUGUGUGUGUGUGUGUGUGUGUGUGUCUGUCUGUCUGUCUGUCUGUCUGUAUUUGUGUGUGUAUUCAUGUGUGUCUGUGUAUGAUAUAAAUGCAUGUGUACAUACAUGUUCUCGUGGGUGUGAAAACACCUGAGGGGUGCAUGUGCACACCCACAUGUAUGCCAGUAGAGUACCCUGUGUCUUCCCUGAUCACUCUCUACCUUAUAUAUGGAGGCAGAGUCUCUCAUGUGAACCCAGAUCUCACUGAUUCAGUUAGUCCAGCUAGUGAGCUAGCUCUGAAGAGCCCGUUUCCAUCUCCCACGGCCAGGGAUUGUAGGUGGGCCCACCAUGCCCUCCUGGCACAUGCAUGAAUGACAUGGACUCGGGAGAUCCAGACUCCAGUCCUCAUGCCUACCAGACAAGUGAGCCAGCUCCCCAGCUCCCGGGACACCAUGUGUCUACUCCUAACACUACAGAUCGUUAUUACAGAUUAUAAAUAAAGUACAUGUCUACACCAAGACUGCAGAACUGUUUGUUCUGUUUUACUUUAUUUAUAAUGACAUGCAGGAGCUAGAGAGAUGGUUCACUGGUUAAGAGCAUUGGGUACUCUUGCAGAAGACCCAGGUUCAGUUCCUAGCACCUAUAUAACAGGAUACAGCUGUUAACUCCAGUCUCAGGGCAUCUGGUGCCCUCUUCUGGAACUUGCAGGCACUACAUGCACAUGGUGUGCAUUCGUACAUGCAGGUAAAACACUCAUACACAUAAAAUAAAAACAGGGACUAGAGAGACGACUAACCCUAACCCUAACCCUAAUCUGAUGCCCUCUCCUGGUGUGUCUAAGGACAGCAACAGUGUACUUAUAUACAUAAAAUAAAUACAUAAAUAUUUUUUUAAAAACUAACAAUUUUUAAAAAGUAAGAUAUGCAGGAAAAGGCCACCAGUCAGAUCUUAAAAACAAAAACAAAAAACCCACAGGGUGACAAGGAGAAUCUUGUGACUGUUAAUCCAUCCCAACCUAUGUAUGGCCCAGACUGGCCCUGGGGACAUGAGAGUUUUAAAGAAGACUAUGGAAACAGCACAAAAGAAGUGUGUGUGUGUGUGUGUGUGUGUGUGUGUGUGUGUGUGUGUAAGAGAGAGAGAAAGGAGAGAGACAGAGACAGAGACAGAGUCAGAGACAGAGACAGAGACAGAGUCAGAGACAGAGACAGAGACAGAGACAGAGACAGAGACAGAGACAGAGGGACAGAUAUCCACUUCCCUGAUACCUAGCUUCUAACUGCAACAGUUCAGCUGUAACUUCAGUGGGAAACAGGCAACUGUGUGCUAAGCAGGAAAAGCAAGGUGGGGGUAUUUUAAGACUCCUGAGUCCUCAAACAUGAAGGGAGUCAUGUUUAAAACAGUUAUUUUCCAUGGUGAUUAUAAGUAAGCUGGGUGGGCAGCGUGCAUGGGAAAGUGAAGGAGCUAAAGCCCCAGGCGGCAUCAGGAGAACAUGAGUGACUCCAUGCAACACAAGAGACAAGAGUCAUCCACACUUCUUACUCUCAAUUAUGCAAAUAGAUGUCACCCGAGUGGAAAACACAACAGGGAGUGGUUUCUUUAGGAGCAAGGACUGAGUCUGGGGGUGAGAAAGACCUGCUGGUUCUCACUGCUGUAACUCUCAAGUUCCAUUUCCUAUUUAAGACAGAUGCAGAUCACACUGGUAGUUUAGAGUUUUCAUUGAAAGAAAAAAAAUCCUGUGAUAAUGCUGGGGACCACGCAGAGCUCGGCUUCUCUGGCAAUGAGUGUAAUGAAAACCCCUGAGCGUCAGGAGCAAGGUGGGUGAACACCAACCCAAGUCUCACAUCUGCACAAACAGAAACACUGUGCGAUUGUGGGCUUCAGGAAUUGUCUUCAGCAUCCAAGGCAGAGAGUGCUCAACACUCCACCCCAAACACACAGAAGUCUGUGAAGAUCUCAUUCAGAGAAUACAAAAAUAAGCCACAGAGAGAAUGCAUGGAAGUAUAUCUCAAAGGACUUCUGUUUAGCCUGUGUAAAAAACUGGCAAAGUUCAGCAGUAGAUAUAGAAAUAAUCCAAUUAUAAAAUGGGUGGAGACCUGACAAGAUGUUUCACCCAGAAACAGGCACAGCAGACUCACAGGCAUGUGAUUCUCCACAGCAUUCAUCAAUGUGACUAAAACAAAGAAGCAAAAGCAGCCACCAUUUGAGUGUCACUUGGCAGUAUCCACCAUCAUUUAAAUGCCAACAGCACAGCCCCAGCCCCAGCCCCAGCCCCAGCCCCAGCCCCAGCCCAAGCCCCAGCCCCUGGCUUUGGUGCUCAGAAAUUUCGUCCCUAGAAAGUCUUGAUUAGUUGCAGAUAGAGGGAGAUAAGGGCAGACACUGUUGCAGUUAACAGGUCCCAAGCAAAACCAUGAAGUUGCUAAACACAGUGGGUCGGGCCUAUGUACCACACGGACAUAACCACAAGAAAGAGCAAUGCAUUUUGGGAAGAAAACUGCACAACAAAACGUUACUUUUGUUUAAUAUUAUGUUAAAUGUGAAAUACAUGUGCCAGCCACAGAUAGGACAGUAUUCACACACAGUCAUUAGGAGAAGCUAUGCCGAGGGAGGAGACCAGACGCAGUUGGAAAUCAUAAAGAGGACAUGGGAAAAAUCUUUUCUAGGUUAGCUUUACUCGAGGUUGUAUUUAAAAUCUAAGAGUACAGUUCUGGAGUUGGUGUCAGGCACACCUCAGGGGCUCAGAGAGCACUAACUAAAACUGCCUAACAAUUGAGAAGGUAUUCUGAAAGGUGUUAAACCUUUAAAUAUAAAAGAUAACAUAGCA